rnacentral:rRNA from 1 species
AGCGAACGCUGGCGGCAUGCUUAACACAUGCAAGUCGCACGGGCAGCAAUGUCAGUGGCGGACGGGUGAGUAACGCGUAGGAACGUGUCCUGAGGUGGGGGACAACCCCGGGAAACUGGGGCUAAUACCGCAUAUGGGCUGAGGCCCAAAGCCGAGAUGGGCCUUUGGAGCGGCCUGCGUCCGAUUAGGUAGUUGGUGGGGUAAAGGCCUACCAAGCCUGGGAUCGGUAGCUGGUCUGAGAGGACGACCAGCCACCCUGGGACUGAGACACGGCCCAGACUCCGACGGGAGGCAGCAGUGAGGAAUAUUGGACAAUGGGCGAAAGCCUGAUCCAGCAAUGCCGCGUGGGUGAAGAAGGUCUUCGGAUCGUAAAGCCCUUUCGACGGGGACGAUGAUGACGGUACCCGUAGAAGAAGCCCCGGCUAACUUCGUGCCAGCCGCCGCAGUAAUAC